rnacentral:tRNA from 1 species
GAUAAAAUGACUGAAAAAGUGAUAAAUUGUAAAUUUAUUUAUGGAGAAAUCCUUUUAUCA